UUUUUUGUUUUUUUCUUUUUUCAGUCUUUUUAGGGCCCCACCUGCAGCAUAUGGAGGUUCCCAGGCUAGGGGUCAAUUUGUAGCUGCAGCUGCCAGCCAAUACCACAGCCACAGCAACUGUGGGACCCAAGCCGAGUCUUUGACCUACACCACAGCUCACGGCAACACCAGAUCCCUGACCCACUGAGCGAGGCCAGGAAUCAAAUCUGUGUCCUCGUGGAUGCUAGUCAGAUUCGUUAACCACUGAGCCACGAUGGGAACUCCCAAAAGACAUGGUUUUGUUUUUUGUUUUUUUUUUUCUGUUUCUUUUUCUUUUUUUUUAGGGCUGCACCCAUGGCAUAUGGAAUUUCCCAGGCUAGGGGUCAAAUUGGAGCUGUAGCCACCAGCCUACCCCACAGCCACAGCAAUGCAGGAUCUGAGUCGUGUCUGCCAUCUACACCACAGCUCACGGCAACGCCGGAUCCUUAACCCACUGAGCAAGAUCAGGGAUCGAACCUGCAUCCUCAUGGAUGCUAGUCAGAUUUGUUAACCACUGAGCCACAAUAGGAACUCCCAAAACACACAGGUUUUAGGGGUUUAAAAAAAUGAUCCUGUCCCCUCAAAAGGCUCCCAUUCACCCCAGGACACGUUCCAGCACAAACACAGCAAAGUCAACGUCAGAGAAACCACCUUCAAACACUAAUGAAGCCAGUAGGCAAGCUGAGCGUUAGAGCCCCCAACUAGCUGGCGAGACUGGCCAUGCCUAAAGGAGAAAUGGAACAUGAGGAGUUCCGUUCUUAGCAGAUUUUGAAGCAGGAGCAGAGCUGUGAGCUAAUGUCCCUCUUCCAUGCAGACACCUGAGAGUGACUGGCAGUUUCCAGACUGAGCAGGAUCGGCUGCCCCGUGAGGACUGAGAGUGAAGGGGACCGGCCGCAGGGGGAGGAUCAGGACCAGCCUAGAUGGGGGCUCCCAGGAGCCGAGAUAAGGACAUGCACAGGAAAGGAGCCGGGAAAAAGCCACGGGCUGUCUCUGUACGUGUCGGAGAGACUGUGUGCCAGGUGCACAAGAAGACAGUGACUUCACUUCCCAUGGACCUUGUACCCUGUCUCCCUCGGCCACCAACCUCUGCUCACCAGGCUUUUCGCCCCACUCUGACCAAAAUGGUCAAGUGUCUUUGGAGGAAAAGCUUUCUCCCCACCCUGUGACCAGCGCCCCCACACUGAGGCUAGAAGAGCCAGGGCAGGGGAGGGGGUGUCCUUGUGCAAACCUGCCAAUUCCAGGCACUCUCCAUCCACAUAGACAUCACAGGUGCUCACACUGGUCCUGGACCUGAGUUACAGGAUCAAAACAGAGAAAUUAAUAGCAAAACCGGUAAUAUUUCCACUCAGAUAGUGUUAAAAGUCUAUGGUCUUAUGGCAGAGUCUCUGAACCACUGUACCUGGAGAUGAAUAGCAUCUUUUAUUGGAUAUGCAGUUAUUUUAAGAAAUAUUUUUCAGUGCUGAGUACUUAUUCUGUGCUUGGUAGCAGCCCUGACUGGAGGCAGAUUCGGCCAGGAUGACUAAGGAUGUCACACAGCCACGGUGGGCAAGGACACUGCAGAAGGUAAUACGUGACAAACUGACGAUUCCUUAUCGCUAUUACUGGUAGUAUUAUUUCUACUCCUGCUGCUGUCAAAAAUCCAGAAACAGCUAAAUUAAAACCAUCAGGUCAACAAACUUAGUUAUUAGUAAGCGUUCAUUGUGCACAUAAGAGCUGUUCACAAACUGUGAGCUUUCGGAGUUCCAGUUGUGCCUCAGGGGUACGACAUCAAGCCACUGCACACUGCAGGAAGGAAAAAAAAAACUCGACUAGUAUCCAUGAGGACGCAGGUUCAAUCCCUGGCCUCAAUCACUGAGUUAAAGGUCUAGCGCUGCCGUGAGCUGUGGUGUAGGUCGCAGACGCAGCUCGGAUCUGGCAUUGCUAUGGCUGUGGUGUAGGCUGACGGCUACCGCCCUUAUCAGCCCCUAGCCAUACGUGGCAGGUGCAGCCCCAAAAAGUAAAACAAAACAAAACAAAAAACAAAACUGGGAGCUUUCAAACCAACAGUGGAAAGAAGCUCAGAGAUAU
rnacentral:lncRNA from 1 species